rnacentral:tRNA from 2 species
CGGGGAGUAGCUCAGCUGGUUUAGAGUGCGCGCUUUGGGAGCGCGAGGUCGCCGGUUCGAAUCCGGCCUCCCCGA